AAUCAACGCUGGCGGCGUGCCUAACACAUGCAAGUCGAACGAGAAAGGGGAGCAAUCCCUGAGUACAGUGGCGUACGGGUGAGUAACACGUGACUAACCUACCUUCGAGUGGGGAAUAACUUCGGGAAACCGAGGCUAAGACCGCAUAACAUCUUUGGGUGAAAUUCCCGAUGAUCAAAUGCGCAAGCAGCUUGAAGAGGGGGUCGCGGUUGAUUAGCUAGUUGGUGAGGUAAUGGCUCACCAAGGCAAUGAUCAAUAGCCGGCCUGAGAGGGCGCACGGCCACACUGGAACUGAAACACGGUCCAGACUCCUACGGGAGGCAGCAGUGGGGAAUUUUGCGCAAUGGGGGAAACCCUGACGCAGCAACGCCGCGUGGAGGAUGAAGUCCCUUGGGACGUAAACUCCUUUCGAUCGGGACGAUAAUGACGGUACCGGAAGAAGAAGCCCCGGCUAACUUCGUGCCAGCAGCCGCGGUAAUACGAGGGGGGCAAGCGUUGUUCGGAAUUAUUGGGCGUAAAGGGCGCGUAGGCGGUGAGCACAAGUCAGUUGUGAAAUCUCCGGGCUUAACUCGGAAAGGUCAACUGAUACUGUGCGACUAGAGUGCGGAAGGGGCAACUGGAAUUCUCGGUGUAGCGGUGAAAUGCGUAGAUAUCGAGAGGAACACCUGCGGCGNNNNCGGGUUGCUGGGCCGACACUGACGCUGAUGCGCGAAAGCCAGGGGAGCGAACGGGAUUAGA
rnacentral:rRNA from 1 species